ACGGACUGUCAGUUUCCCCUUUCACGCUCUUCGGAGGACAUUUCGUGCCGCCCUACUCCUACUUGAAAGUUUGUUGCAGACACGGCAGCUCCUGGAGCGCCUCGGUCUGUAACAGUCCUCUUAGCACCCGGCGGCUGUGAGCCCCGGGGCUCAUCGAGGCUGAGGCGGGAGGAGGGGGAGCAGACGGUCUGCCCCCCACACCGCAGUGCAGAGGACGGUGCGGGUCUAAACUUACGUCCUCUGAACUGGUCACGGAGACUCUUCUUAAGCCAAAAAGGAACCCGAGCCACUUUGCUGGUGGAAAUCCGGGAAGCAGCAACACAAAAGGAAGUCCCCCGUGGUCCAGAAGACUGCUAACAGACCCAGGUGAAAGUCUUUAUACCCAAGAAGCUAAAAGUAAUGGAGUUAUUUCAUGGAUGUGGAACAGGAGGCCCUGUUUGGUCCAAAUCACAGGAGCCAAGCCACACUGCGGUGUCCUGUGACCCAGGUAAUGAAGAAAAAGCCUGUACUUUUGGACCUAGAAUCUUAUUUAUGCUAAUAAGCUUUGACUGCAGUUUCGUGUUACGCUAUUUCCUGCUGGCAUCUCGGUGGUCACACGGAGCUCCCCACACGCCGGUGAAGACGGCUGUCCACAACUACCACCGUUGAAACCAAAACUCAAAAGGUGGAAAUUCCAACAACCCACGCUCAGAAAGCCAGAACUUUGUCUGCGCAGCAGUAAAAUUUGAGAUAAACCUUGAUUUCAAGAUGUCGAAAUCUGAGCUGUCUUCAUCUUUUGUCAUGUGGCUUUGUGAUAUAGAAGACCAAAAAAAAAAAGAAAUUUCAAGUAUGAGUAUCAUGUUAAGCCGAUUUGUAACG